AUAAGAUAGUAUUACUAAAUGAUACUAUGUAAUACGUUCCCGGACAAUAUUCAACAAAGAGAGAGAAAGUACUAAAGAACCUCUUCAAGAACUGAUUUAACUUGGCGAAGCUUCUCAGCAUGUUCAAUCAAGGUUUUCUGGAUCACUAUCACUCUCACGACCUGGUCUACAUAUAAAAAAAGGAAGACCAUAUUGUCGUUACCAGUAUUCAACACAUGGAAAAGAUAGACCAGACAUGCUUUUUGGAGACAAGACACAAAGAGUUGAGUUCAGGGUUCUAAAGAUGAGGAGCCUUUGCGUCUAAACACAUUUUUCUUAG
rnacentral:lncRNA from 1 species